UAACGAGUAACUGAAAAGGUUUUACCUGGCUCUCGGGGCAUGUGCACCCCUGGCUCACCACUCUUCAACCUCUGUGCACUUUUUUUAGGUCGGUAGAAGAGCGAGCAUCCUCUGAUGCUUUCUUUGAAGCCUUCCUAUGUUUUACUAAAAACGCUUCAGUUUAAGAAUGUCUACCUGCGUAUAACGCAUCUAUAUAAAACUUUCAGCAACGGAUCUCUUUGCUCUCGCAUCGAUGAAGAACGCAGCGAAAUGCGAUAAGUAAUGUGAAUUUCAGAAUUCAGUGAAUCAUCGAAUCUUUUAACGCACCUUUCGCUCCCUGGUAUUCCGGGGAGCAUGCCUGUUUUAGUGUCAUGGUAUCCUCAACCUUCAUAACUUUUUUUUAUCGAAGCUUUGACUUUGAGGUUUUGCUGGCUUCUAAUCAAGUCGGCUCCUCUUAAAUGUAUUAGCGUGAGUGUAACGGAUCGCUUCGGUGUGAUAAUUAUCUGCGCCGUGGUCGUGAAGUAAAAUAAGCUUUCGCUUCUAACCGUCCUUCAGUUUUGAAAAUUUACUUUUAAAUCUGAAAAAAA
rnacentral:rRNA from 1 species